rnacentral:rRNA from 1 species
UACGUAGGGUGCAAGCGUUGUCCGGAAUUAUUGGGCGUAAAGAGCUCGUAGGCGGUCUGUCGCGUCGAAUGUGAAAACCCGGGGCUCAACCCCGGGCUUGCAUUCGAUACGGGCAGACUAGAGUUCGGUAGGGGAGUCUGGAAUUCCUGGUGUAGCGGUGGAAUGCGUAGAGAUCCGGAAGAACACCGGUGGCGAAGGCGGCCCGCUGGGCAGGAAGGCUCGCAAGAGCCGGCUGACGCUGAGGCGCGACAGCGUGGGGAGCAAACAGG